ensembl:snoRNA SNORA70 Small nucleolar RNA SNORA70
CUGUAGUCAAAUGAGCUGAGCAGGUUCCUUUCCUCAGGGAGGUCUGAGUGCAAUGACUUUAAAUAGCAGUGUCCUUGGUAGUACAUGUAGCAAAUUACUUGUAUGGAUUGCCCGAAGGCAUGCUGCAGCCAAAG